CAAAAGAAAAAAAAAAGGAAAAAAAGGGAUCGAGAGAUCGAUCCUGUAGCCCUAGCCGCCAGGCUCCUGCGCCCUGCCGCUCCUGCCGCGUUUCUACCACCACCGGCGCCGUCUCUACGCCGCCGCCGUUGGUGCAGUGUCGCCGGUCGCCACCACCACCGUCGCCGCUGUGCUGCUGCUCCGUUUUCUGCUGCUGUUCGGUGGAUUGAUUUGCAGAGCAGCAGUAGCCAACAACUAGGGGGCAGGGCAGGAAGAGCAGAGAAGUCAAGGAAUUGGGAGGAAGAGAGGCAAGGUACCUAAUGACAUCGAUCAACAUGGGGCGGGAGUAGCACCCUUGGACUACACAUUAUUAUUGCACACAACUGAAAUUUAGUUUUAGAUUAUACUUUGCUCAGCAUAAGUUUUGCAUAGAAGUUGUAAGGGUCAUUAAGGUUCUGAUUCUUAUUUUUCACGUGGGAUUUGUGGAGCUAGGAUGGUUUGGAUUGUGUGGAUUAUAUCGGUAUUGACUUUUCUUAUAACUGCCUGUCGUGGAUGUCCAUAUUUUUAGGGGAGACUGGCGAAAUUUCUAAUAAUUUUAGGAUUAGUUUUUGAGUGUAUUUUGGUAUGGCAUUCUAGGUACGUGGUUACUGGGGGUGUUACAGCGUCAACCAAGAAUCAUGCCAUGAUGUGAUUUCAGUUCCAUUUUAAUCUUCUAAUUACCUGCCAUGAUUUUAGGUGACUGAUAUCUGGUUCCCUUCUCUAGUUCUCUUGUUCUGCAGCUGCUCCUCUGGAUUCUGAUUCAAGGAUUCUCCCGAUGGAACUCUAAUUUCUCCUCUUUAAACUCGGGCACCUCCAGAUUGAUUUGUACUAUGGCAUACUAAUCCUGGAACUAAAACUCCUUUCUUUACUUGAAACUCAGGUACUUCUUCUUGGCUCUUGCUCUACUGGUACUGCUUCCUGCCAUCUUUCUUGAUCUGCUGACUGCUACUGCUAUGGUUAAUUGAUGUAUUGAUUUGUGCUGGAUUUCACUGAGCUACUACAGCUGUUGUUGCUCUUCUAAGCGGAGCCAUACUACUCUACUACUGUUGCAACUGCUGCUAAUGCUGUUCCUCGAGGUUGUCUCCCAGCCAAAACAACAUGAUGGCUAGUCUACUAGCUAGGCUAAUAUUUGUAUGUAAUUUGUGAGGGCAUGGUGAUGCAGCUGCUUGCAUGUCGGUUUGGAAAAGGAUUUGCUGCCACAUUUUUCACCUAAUCAAUUUGGGGUGAAAAAGGUAAUUUCCUCUUUGAUGUCAUUUUGGUGAUUACAUGGAAACUAAAGUCAGUAAAUUAUAAUUACUGCAGGAAAUUGGUUUUAUACGUAUACCUAUGGAAUUCUUACAUUCUAGUCCUUAAGGUUUCAUAAUAUUUAAGAUUUUACUAGAGCUCGAGGGCUGAUUGGUAAUUGCUCUAGUUUUAUUUUCAUUUUCACAAUUCCUCUAUUGAUUUGUAUAUAAUAGCUAUGAGUUGAGUAUGUUACAGAACAUUUGCAAAGCAUAAUAUGGAUGUAUGCAUGCAUGCAUGUAUGCAGAUAUACACUGAUCAUUUGUGAAUAAAGUGUCGUAACUUCUAUUGUGA